GCUCUGAUGGCCAAGUUGGUAAGGCGCGUCACUAGUACCCCAACACAAAGAAGCUAAUGACGAGAUCAACGGUUCAAAUCCGUUUCAGAGCA
rnacentral:tRNA from 1 species